GUGAAGACGCAAUAAAUCGACCGCUGAGCACUCUCCUGUCAACUCCAGUACUCCAUCAGAGCGAGAAGCGUAGGCGGAGUUGACGGGGAGCAUCAGCAGAUGACCUACCGUAGUGAAGACACCGCGUCCAGGUAAAGGAGAAU